UGGGCAGUGUCAAAAUAAAUGUUGUUGAGAGAAAACCACGUUAGAGAAUGUGGCAGAGCUUAAGAGUGACAGUCCCAUAUUGCGUUUUCAUGUAUAUUUGAAUGGACUGGGUUUACCAUGUCUGUAGUGCCAAUAUCCUGACUUUGCCAAAAGACUUAUAGGCCUGCAACAGUCACCUAGUAGACCCAGGCUAGUGAUGGUGCCAAUGACUGUGGAACUUGAGACAUAGUUGGAUGAUGGCUUUAUCCUCUCAGCUCUUUUUUCCCAGAGAUUAUAGUGCUGGAGUUGGAAGAAGAUGGGAGAAACAUAUGAGGAGAGAAGGAAGUCGAGCUCAUACCAUAAUGAAGAAGAUAACUCCUGAAGAUUGGGAAGGGCACUGGCUGGCUCUCAAAGAUGGACAAAUGGCUUUACGAUGCUUAAGGGGAUGCUCUGUGGAGUCAGAUGCUUGGGUGCAAAUCACCACCAUGACACACUACCCAAUGAGCAAACAAAAGCAGACUGGUUAAGGAUCCUGACAAAGACUUCGCAGCCAGAAGAGGCGACACCUUGGGACAAAUCUAGGACCACCAGAUUUCAAACCUCAUACUUCUAAUCACUAUAUGACACUGAACAUGAUUUUAAGAAACUUUCUUACAAAAAUGUAUGAAUUGGACAAGAGAGUAACAAAAACACAGUAAUUUGCUGAUCUCUCAUUUUGUAGAUGUAAGUUUUGUAUAAUGAGUUUCCAUACAUCAGGAGACACUUGGAAACAUAAAUAAGUCAAAGUUACAGACAAUAAAGUUACAGAGAAUUG